GGACAGGACACUUUACAGACGUGUUGUUGAUGGAGGAAAUGCGGAGCUUUUUAAGUCCUACGAAUCGCCACAGCCCUUCGGGAUCCACCCUCAGAGAAUGACUCAACCGACAGGUAGCAGACUACCUCGCCUUAACUGCAGAUAUCGACACUCUGAGGAGCGAUGAACCCCUUCACUACUGGGUGUGCAGGCUUAACCUGUGGCCUGAGCUAUCCCAAUUUGCAAUAGAACUUCUG